GCCGCCCCCGGGCCCGCCCAGUCGUCGGAGCCCCGGGCCUUUGGGGGCCUUGGGACCCAAGCCCUGCGGUGAGUCUAGAGGGGACCAGAGGAGAAGGAGGACCCCAGCAGGAAAGCCGGAAAGGGCCGAAAGGGGAACAAACGCGGUGAAAGAGAAUGCCAUUUCCUGGGCCCUGGAGAGCCGGCCAGAACCUGGGUGUGCAAGUCAGGAGUCCGGCCUCCUGGGCCAAUGCCUCUGAUUCCCAAACAGCAAAUCUCCUGUUACCUGUACUGUUCACUACAUCAUCACCAGCCUCCGGAUUUUGUUACAUAAGGACACAGAAGAGAGAUCAUAGCAAUGGCCAGCAGUAUGUUAGUGCAAACUCCAGACCCACGUCAUUGCCGAUACCGAAUGUCUUCCUCUUGAAAACUUUGAGUGGUAAAAAUGUAGUAUCUCCACGUUUCUCCGGUGAACACACUGCGACUCCUAGUGAGUGCGACCACCCCUUCGGGUAUCUGUUAAGAGCUUUUACGUCUUACCACUGGGCCUGUUUGCUCAUAUCUUCACUGUUUGUCUUCAUCUUACUGUUUGGUAGGAACUUCCUGCGUGUUCUGGCUGUUCUUUGUUGUGGGUGUUGGUCACGUCCUCCCCCCCACCCAAUCUACUGUUUUUCUCCAACUUUGUGGUAUUCUCAACAUAUCAGUACUUAA
rnacentral:lncRNA from 1 species